UCACGAGCCAACUCGAGCAGUAACUGCCAUUAUAAUGUCGACUGUGAAAUUUGCAGUUGUAAUGGCUGCGCUUGUAGUCUUGAUGGAGAAUAUCUCAAGUGUGAAAUGUAACCCCUUUCACCCAGCUUGUCCUGGUCUACCCUGCCGUGGACCACGUGACCGUGUAUGCUUUCCAGAGUGCAGAUGCAGCCCCGCCUAUAGAUGCGUCCGAGUAUUGUUCUGGAGGAAAGGAUAAAGACUCUGCACCGUGCGAUUGUAUGACUAUUCUGCAAAGAAAAAUCCAGCUAAAUAAAAUUUAACGCCACCC